CCUACGGGUGGCAGCAGUGGGGAAUAUUGGACAAUGGGCGAAAGCCUGAUCCAGCCAUGCCGCGUGUGUGAAGAAGGUCUUCGGAUUGUAAAGCACUUUAAGUUGGGAGGAAGGGCAGUAAGUUAAUACCUUGCUGUUUUGACGUUACCAACAGAAUAAGCACCGGCUAACUUCGUGCCAGCAGCCGCGGUAAUACGAAGGGUGCAAGCGUUAAUCGGAAUUACUGGGCGUAAAGCGCGCGUAGGUGGUUCAGCAAGUUGGAGGUGAAAUCCCCGGGCUCAACCUGGGAACUGCCUCCAAAACUACUGAGCUAGAGUACGGUAGAGGGUAGUGGAAUUUCCUGUGUAGCGGUGAAAUGCGUAGAUAUAGGAAGGAACACCAGUGGCGAAGGCGACUACCUGGACUGAUACUGACACUGAGGUGCGAAAGCGUGGGGAGCA
rnacentral:rRNA from 1 species